AUCGGGUUGGAGUAGGGCGGCGGCGAGGCGGUGCUCUGCGACAGGCCGAGGUCGCAGAUCUUGAGGUUGCCGCGCGCGUCGACGAGGACGUUGUCCGGCUUGAGGUCCCGGUGCAUGAGGCCGGCGUCGUGCAUGC
rnacentral:sRNA from 1 species